UACGGAGGGUGCGAGCGUUGUCCGGAAUCACUGGGCGUAAAGGGCGCGUAGGCGGCCUGCUAAGUCGGGGGUGAAAUCUUGCGGCUCAACCGCAAGGCUGCCUUCUAAACUGUCAGGCUUGAGCACAGUAGAGGCAGGUGGAAUUCCCGGUGUAGCGGUGGAAUGCGUAGAGAUCGGGAAGAACAUCAGUGGCGAAGGCGGCCUGCUGGGCUGUUGCUGACGCUGAGGCGCGACAGCGUGGGGAGCAAACAGG
rnacentral:rRNA from 1 species